rnacentral:sRNA from 2 species
ACCUACUACUGCUAAUCUAUGCCGCUGCCAAUCUACCUAUUGCUGCUAAUCUAUCGCUGCUGCCAACCUACCUACCGCUGCCAACCUAUCUAUUGCUGCCAACCUACCUACCACUGCUAAUCUAUCGCUGCUAAUCUAUCACUGCUAAUCUAUUGCUGCUAAUCUAUCUAUCACUGCUAAUCUAUCGCUGCCAACCUACCUACCGCUGCCAACCUAUCUACCACUGCCAACCUAUCUACCACUGCCAAUCUACCUACCGCUGCCAACCUACCUACCACUGCUAAUCUAUCACUGCUAAUCUAUCGCUGCUAAUCUAUUGCUGCUAAUCUAUCGCUGCUAAUCUAUUGCUGCUAAUCUAUCUAUCACUGCUAAUCUAUCGCUGCCAACCUACCUACCGCUGCCAACCUACCUACCGCUGCCAACCUACCUACCGCUGCCAACCUACCUACCACUGCUAAUCUAUCACUGCUAAUCUAUCGCUGCCAAUCUAUAUAGGGUAAAUCAUGGUCCCAUUUGGUCCCAUUUUGUAAAAUGGGACCAAAUGGGACUGGGACCACUAAUUUAUUAAUAAAACAUGAUCUGGGACUAGAUUUAUAAUAUAAACAGUGUAAAGUGACUAAUUUACUAAACACUAUAUGGGACCAGGACUAAGAUAUCUAAUAAUGGGACUGAGGAAAAAUUUGGUCCCAGUCCCAUGCAUGGUCACACGGCCAGUCUAUCUAUAUGAAUAUUGAAAUAUAUAUAAAUUCAAUAUUCUUGAUUUUAUGAAAGACAAAGUCAUUGCAGA